rnacentral:tRNA from 1 species
UAGCUUAGUUGGUAGAGCACCCGCUUAGUAAGCGGGAGGUCGUCGGUUCAACUCCGGCAGAA